CCUACGGGUGGCAGCAGUGAGGAAUAUUGGUCAAUGGCCGGGAGGCUGAACCAGCCAAGUAGCGUGAGGGAAGACGGCCCUACGGGUUGUAAACCUCUUUUGUCAGGGAGCAAGGUGCAGGUCGGGACCUGCUGUGUGAGUACCUGAAGAAAAAGGACCGGCUAACUCCGUGCCAGCAGCCGCGGUAAUACGGAGGAUGCGAGCGUUAUCCGGAUUUAUUGGGUUUAAAGGGUGCGGAGGCGGAGGGUCAAGGCAGCCGUAAAAUGCCGGGGCUCAACCACGCCACGGCGGCGGCAACUGGGUGCCGUGAGUGAGCGGAGGGUAGGCGGAAUGCGUGGGGGAGCGGUGAAAUGCUUAGAUAUCACGAAGAACUCCGAGCGCGAAGGCAGCAUACGGCAGCGCUACUGACGCUGAUGCUCGAAGGCGCGGGUAUCGAACAGGAUUAGAUACACGGGGAGUC
rnacentral:rRNA from 1 species